rnacentral:rRNA from 1 species
GGUUAAGCGACUAAGCGUACACGGUGGAUGCCCUGGCAGUCAGAGGCGAUGAAGGGCGUGCUAAUCUGCGAUAAGCGCCGGUAAGGUGAUAUGAACCGUUAUAACCGGCGAUACCCGAAUGGGGAAACCCAGUGUGACUCGUCACACUAUCAUUAACUGAAUCCAUAGGUUAAUGAGGCGAACCGGGGGAACUGAAACAUCUAAGUACCCCGAGGAAAAGAAAUCAACCGAGAUUCCCCCAGUAGCGGCGAGCGAACGGGGAGGAGCCCAGAGCCUGAAUCAGCAUGUGUGUUAGUGGAAGCGUCUGGAAAGACGCGCGAUACAGGGUGACAGCCCCGUACACAAAAGCGUAUGUGCUGUGAGCUCGAUGAGUAGGGCGGGACACGUGGUAUCCUGUCUGAAUAUGGGGGGACCAUCCUCCAAGGCUAAAUACUCCUGACUGACCGAUAGUGAACCAGUACCGUGAGGGAAAGGCGAAAAGAACCCCGGCGAGGGGAGUGAAAAAGAACCUGAAACCGUGUACGUACAAGCAGUGGGAGCACAGGUUUACCUGUGUGACUGCGUACCUUUUGUAUAAUGGGUCAGCGACUUAUAUUCUGUAGCAAGGUUAACCGAAUAGGGGAGCCGGAGGGAAACCGAGUCUUAAUUGGGCGUUAAGUUGCAGGGUAUAGACCCGAAACCCGGUGAUCUAGCCAUGGGCAGGUUGAAGGUUGGGUAACACUAACUGGAGGACCGAACCGACUAAUGUUGAAAAAUUAGCGGAUGACCUGUGGCUGGGGGUGAAAGGCCAAUCAAACCGGGAGAUAGCUGGUUCUCCCCGAAAGCUAUUUAGGUAGCGCCUCGUGAAUUCAUCUCCGGGGGUAGAGCACUGUUUCGGCUAGGGGGUCAUCCCGACUUACCAACCCGAUGCAAACUGCGAAUACCGGAGAAUGUUAUCACGGGAGACACACGGCGGGUGCUAACGUCCGUCGUGAAGAGGGAAACAACCCAGACCGCCAGCUAAGGUCCCAAAGUCAUGGUUAAGUGGGAAACGAUGUGGGAAGGCCCAGACAGCCAGGAUGUUGGCUUAGAAGCAGCCAUCAUUUAAAGAAAGCGUAAUAGCUCACUGGUCGAGUCGGCCUGCGCGGAAGAUGUAACGGGGCUAAACCAUGCACCGAAGCUGCGGCAGCGAACGUAUCACUUAAAGCGAUUCAGCGGGUUACGAUUGACGGAGCGAAGCGACGUCAAAGCGUAUACAAAGUCGAGUCGGUUUA